rfam:Triticum aestivum genome assembly, contig: Triticum_aestivum_CS42_TGACv1_scaffold_456904_5DS
CUUAUACUCCCUCCGUCCGGAAUUACUUGUCGUAAAAAUGGAUAAAAAUGUAUCUAGACAUAUUUUAGUUAUAGAUACAUUAAUUUUCAUCCAUUUCUACGACAAGUAAUUCCGGACGGAGGGAGUACAUA